CCUACGUGCGGCAGCAGUGGGGAAUAUUGGACAAUGGGCGAAAGCCUGAUCCAGCCAUGCCGCGUGUGUGAAGAAGGCCUUCGGGUUGUAAAGCACUUUCAGUGGGGAAGAAAGCCUUGGGGCUAAUACCCUCGAGGAAGGACAUCACCCACAGAAGAAGCACCGGCUAACUCCGUGCCAGCAGCCGCGGUAAUACGGAGGGUGCGAGCGUUAAUCGGAAUUACGGGGCGUAAAGCGCGCGUAGGCGGUCUGAUAAGCCGGUUGUGAAAGCCCCGGGCUCAACCUGGGAACGGCAUCCGGAACUGUCAGGCUAGAGUGCAGGAGAGGAAGGUAGAAUUCCCGGUGUAGCGGUGAAAUGCGUAGAGAUCGGGAGGAAUACCAGUGGCGAAGGCGGCCUUCUGGACUGACACUGACGCUGAGGUGCGAAAGCGUGGGUAGCAAACAGGAUUAGAUACCCUAGUAGUC
rnacentral:rRNA from 1 species